GACGAACGCUGGCGGCGUGCCUAAUACAUGCAAGUCGAACGAGAGCGACCGGUGCUUGCACUGGUCAAUCUAGUGGCGAACGGGUGAGUAACACGUGGGUAACCUGCCCAUCAGAGGGGGAUAACAUCCGGAAACGGAUGCUAAAACCGCAUAGGUCUUCGAGCCGCAUGGCUUGAAGAGGAAAAGAGGCGCAAGCUUCUGCUGAUGGAUGGACCCGCGGUGCAUUAGCUAGUUGGUGAGGUAACGGCUCACCAAGGCCGUGAUGCAUAGCCGACCUGAGAGGGUGAUCGGACACAUUGGGACUGAGACACGGCCCAAACUCCUACGGGAGGCAGCAGUAGGGAAGCUUCCGCAAUGGACGCAAGUCUGACGGAGCAACGCCGCGUGAGUGAAGAAGGUUUUCGGAUCGUAAAGCUCUGUUGUUAGAGAAGAACAAGUGCUAGAGUAACUGUUAGCGCCUUGACGGUAUCUAACCAGAAAGCCACGGCUAACUACGUG
rnacentral:rRNA from 1 species